rnacentral:rRNA from 2 species
CUUUUAAAGCUUGCUUUUGAAAGGUCAGCGGCGGACGGGUGAGUAACACGUGGGCAACCUGCCUGUAAGACUGGGAUAACUUCGGGAAACCGGAGCUAAUACCGGAUAAUAUAAGGAACCUCCUGGUUCUUUAUUGAAAGAUGGUUUCGGCUAUCACUUACAGAUGGGCCCGCGGCGCAUUAGCUAGUUGGUGAGGUAACGGCUCACCAAGGCGACGAUGCGUAGCCGACCUGAGAGGGUGAUCGGCCACACUGGGACUGAGACACGGCCCAGACUCCUACGGGAGGCAGCAGUAGGGAAUCUUCCACAAUGGACGAAAGUCUGAUGGAGCAACGCCGCGUGAGCGAUGAAGGCCUUCGGGUCGUAAAGCUCUGUUGUUAGGGAAGAACAAGUGCGAGAGUAACUGCUCGCACCUUGACGGUACCUAACCAGAAAGCCACGGCUAACUACGUGCCAGCAGCCGCGGUAAUACGUAGGUGGCAAGCGUUGUCCGGAAUUAUUGGGCGUAAAGCGCGCGCAGGUGGUCCUUUAAGUCUGAUGUGAAAGCCCACGGCUCAACCGUGGAGGGUCAUUGGAAACUGGGGGACUUGAGUGCAGAAGAGGAGAGUGGAAUUCCAAGUGUAGCGGUGAAAUGCGUAGAGAUUUGGAGGAACACCAGUGGCGAAGGCGACUUUCUGGUCUGUAACUGACACUGAGGCGCGAAAGCGUGGGGAGCAAACAGGAUUAGAUACCCUGGUAGUCCACGCCGUAAACGAUGAGUGCUAAGUGUUAGAGGGUUUCCGCCCUUUUAGUGCUGCAGCUAACGCAUUAAGCACUCCGCCUGGGGAGUACGGUCGCAAGAGUGAAACUCAUAGGAAUUGACGGGGGCCCGCACAAGCGGUGGAGCAUGUGGUUUAAUUAGAAGCAACGCGAAGAACCUUACCAGGUCUUGACAUCCUCUGACACUCCUAGAGAUAGGACGUUCCCCUUCGGGGGACAGAGUGACAGGUGGUGCAUGGUUGUUGUCAGCUCGUGUCGUGAGAUGUUGGGUUAAGUCCCGCAACGAGCGCAACCCUUGAUUUUAGUUGCCAGCAUUCAGUUGGGCACUCUAAGGUGACUGCCGGUGACAAACCGGAGGAAGGUGGGGAUGACGUCAAAUCAUCAUGCCCCUUAUGACCUGGGGUACACACGUGCUACAAUGGACGGUACAAAGGGCAGCAAAACCGCGAGGUCGAGCCAAUCCCAUAAAACCGUUCUCAGUUCGGAUUGCAGGCUGCAACUCGCCUGCAUGAAGCCGGAAUCGUUAGUAAUCGCGGAUCAGCAUGCCGCGGUGAAUACGUUCCCGGGCCUUGUACACACCGCCCGUCACACCACGAGAGUUUGUAACACCCGAAGUCGGUGGGGUAACCUU